AAGGGACCUAGCGUAGUUCGGAAUUACUGGGCUUAAAGAGUUCGUAGGUGGUUGAAAAAGUUGGUGGUGAAAUCCCAGAGCUUAACUCUGGAACUGCCAUCAAAACUUUUCAGCUAGAGUAUGAUAGAGGAAAGCAGAAUUUCUAGUGUAGAGGUGAAAUUCGUAGAUAUUAGAAAGAAUACCAAUUGCGAGGCAGCUUUCUGGAUCAUUACUGACACUGAGGAACGAAAGCAUGGGUAGCGAAGAGGAUUAGAUACCCUCGUAGUCCAUGCCGUAAACGAUGUGUGUUAGACGUUGGAAAUUUAUUUUCAGUGUCGCAGGGAAACCGAUAAACACACCGCCUGGGGAGUACGACCGCAAGGUUAAAACUCAAAUGAAUUGACGGGGACCCGCACAAGUAGUGGAGCAUGUGGUUUAAUUCGAAGAUACGCGCAGAACCUUACCAACACUUGACAUGUUCGCCGCGACUCUAAGAGAUUAGAGUUUUCGGUUCGGCCGGACGAAACACAGGUGCUGCAUGGCUGUCGUCAGCUCGUGUCGUGAGAUGUUGGGUUAAGUCCCGCAACGAGCGCAACCCUCACUUUUAGUUGCCAUCAUUAAGUUGGGCUCUCUGAAAGAACUGCCAGUGAUAAGCUGGAGGAAGGUGGGGAUGACGUCAAGUCCUCAUGGCCCUUACGUGUUGGGCUACACACGUGCUACAAUGGCAUCUACAACAGGAAGCAAAACGGCAACGUAAAGCAAAUCCCGAAAAGAUGCCUCAGUUCGGAUUGCACUCUGCAACUCGAGUGCAUGAAGCUGGAAUUACUAGUAAUCGUGGAUCAGCGUGCCACGGUGAAUGCGUUCCCGGGUCUUGUACACACCGCCCGUCACACCAUGGGAGUUGGUUCUACCUUAAGGCAAGGUUUUAAACCCUUGACCACGGUAUAGUCAGCGACUGGGGUGAAGUCGUAACAAGGUAGCCGUAGGGGAACCUGCGGCUGGAUUACCUCCUUUCUAAGGAUGAGUGAAAGUAAAAUUUCACUCUAAAUAAUAUACAUCGGUAAUGUUGACCGUCCUCAUUUCUCUUCUUAAAGUAAUGUUUCCUUCUUGUAGGGCCGGUAGCUCAGUUGGUUAGAGCACACCCUUGAUAAGGGUGGGGUCGAAAGUUCGAGUCUUUCUCGGCCCACCAAAAACCUAAAUGGGGGAUUAGCUCAUCUGGGAGAGCGCCUGAUUUGCAUUCAGGAGGUAGCAGGUUCGAUCCCUGUAUCCUCCACCAGGAAACAUUUAGUUAUUAAAACUGUAAAUAAAAAUAAUUUAUAUCAAUAUCUAUAUCCGAACAUUAAAAGUUAUUAUUUAAUGUUCAAAAUAAAAAUUUGAUCACAACAUGGAUAAAUUUUCUGUUAAAAGAAUUUUUUUCUGUGCAUAAAUCAAGCGUUUAAGGGCGUGUAGUGGAUGCCUUGGCACUGAAAGCCGAUGAAGGACGUGAUAUACUGCGAUAAGUUUCGGGGAGCUGUAUGUAAGCUUUGAUCCGAAAAUUU
rnacentral:sRNA from 1 species